rnacentral:rRNA from 1 species
AUUGAACGCUGGCGGCAGGCCUAACACAUGCAAGUCGAGCGGUAGAGAGAAGCUUGCUUCUCUUGAGAGCGGCGGACGGGUGAGUAAUGCCUAGGAAUCUUCCUGGUAGUGGGGGAUAACGUUCGGAAACGGACGCUAAUACCGCAUACGUCCUACGGGAGAAAGCAGGGGACCUUCGGGCCUUGCGCUAUCAGAUGAGCCUAGGUCGGAUUAGCUAGUUGGUGAGGUAAUGGCUCACAAAGGCGACGAUCCGUAACUGGUCUGAGAGGAUGAUCAGUCACACUGGAACUGAGACACGGUCCAGACUCCUACGGGAGGCAGCAGUGGGGAAUAUUGGACAAUGGGCGAAAGCCUGAUCCAGCCAUGCCGCGUGUGUGAAGAAGGUCUUCGGAUUGUAAAGCACUUUAAGUUGGGAGGAAGGGUUGUAGAUUAAUACUCUGCAAUUUUGACGUUACCGACAGAAUAAGCACCGGCUAACUCUGUGCCAGCAGCCGCGGUAAUACAGAGGGUGCAAGCGUUAAUCGGAAUUACUGGGCGUAAAGCGCGCGUAGUGGUUUGUUAAGUUGGAUGUGAAAUCCCCGGGCUCAACCUGGGAACUGCAUUCAAAACUGACUGACUAGAGUAUGGUAGAGGGUGGUGGAAUUUCCUGUGUAGCGGUGAAAUGCGUAGAUAUAGGAAGGAACACCAGUGGCGAAGGCGACCACCUGGACUAGUACUGACACUGAGGUGCGAAAGCGUGGGGAGCAAACAGGAUUAGAUACCCUGGUAGUCCACGCCGUAAACGAUGUCAACUAGCCGUUGGAAGCCUUGAGCUUUUAGUGGCGCAGCUAACGCAUUAAGUUGACCGCCUGGGGAGUACGGCCGCAAGGUUAAAACUCAAAUGAAUUGACGGGGGCCCGCACAAGCGGUGGAGCAUGUGGUUUAAUUCGAAGCAACGCGAAGAACCUUACCAGGCCUUGACAUCCAAUGAACUUUCUAGAGAUAGAUUGGUGCCUUCGGGAACAUUGAGACAGGUGCUGCAUGGCUGUCGUCAGCUCGUGUCGUGAGAUGUUGGGUUAAGUCCCGUAACGAGCGCAACCCUUGUCCUUAGUUACCAGCACGUAAUGGUGGGCACUCUAAGGAGACUGCCGGUGACAAACCGGAGGAAGGUGGGGAUGACGUCAGGUCAUCAUGGCCCUUACGGCCUGGGCUACACACGUGCUACAAUGGUCGGUACAGAGGGUUGCCAAGCCGCGAGGUGGAGCUAAUCCCAUAAAACCGAUCGUAGUCCGGAUCGCAGUCUGCAACUCGACUGCGUGAAGUCGGAAUCGCUAGUAAUCGCGAAUCAGAAUGUCGCGGUGAAUACGUUCCCGGGCCU